rnacentral:rRNA from 1 species
AGUCUACGGGAGGCAGCAGUUAAGAAUAUUCCGCAAUGGACGAAAGUCUGACGGAGCGACGCCGCGUGGAUGAAGAAUGCCGAAAGGUUGUAAAAUCCUUUUCUGAAGGAGCAUAAUGAGAGUACUUUAGGAAUAAGGGACGGCUAAAUACGUGCCAGCAGCCGCGGUAAUGACU